AAUCAACGCUGGCGGCGUGCCUAACACAUGCAAGUCGAACGCGAAAGCCCCGAAAGGGGGUAAGUAGAGUGGCAAACGGGUGAGUAACACGUGGGUGACCUGCCUUCGAGUGGGGGAUAACGUCCCGAAAGGGACGCUAAUACCGCAUAACAUCCUGCCUUUGAAGAGGUGGAGAUCAAAGCUGGGGACCGCAAGGCCUAGCGCUCAGAGGGGCCCGCGCCUGAUUAGCUAGUUGGUGGGGUAAGGCUCACCAAGGCAACGAUCAGUAUCCGGCCUGAGAGGGCGGACGGACACACUGGGACUGAGACACGGCCCAGACUCCUACGGGAGGCAGCAGUGGGGAAUUGUUCGCAAUGGGCGCAAGCCUGACGACGCAACGCCGCGU
rnacentral:rRNA from 1 species